rfam:Candidatus Yanofskybacteria bacterium RIFCSPHIGHO2_02_FTLL_43_15c rifcsphigho2_02_scaffold_2364, whole genome shotgun sequence.
GGAGAGGUCGGAUAGUGGUUUAUUCCACCGCCUUGGAAAGGCGGCAUGCUCGAAAGGGCAUCGUGGGUUCAAAUCCCACCCUCUCCG